UGCCUCUACCCCAUAUUAAUGUAGAGACAUAAAUGCUAAUGUCACUAUAAUUUCAUCACGUUCCAAAGAACCAAUAAGACAACCAUAGCAACUCGAAAGAAUAUUACCUGCUAAGAUAAACAGCAUGGGAUAUCCUGGCAAGAUCAAAAAGGUAAAUUUUUUACAUGUGUUGAUAUGAAUAUAUACUUUAAAAUAUCAAUUGCUUUUUCUCUCUUUUCAGUAACAGCCUUAGCUCCAAAUAAAACAGCUCAGAACAAAUAUAUGAUUCUAUAAUAAACUAUAGUAAAAUAAGCCUAAGUUUGAAGCCUUAAUACAUUGAAAAUGGAUUUCUAUUAACCGUCACUUGUUAUAAUUUACAGCUUAAAAAAAGUAUGAUAGCUGCCAAGUUGCUUACCUUACUGGCAAUUUU
rnacentral:lncRNA from 1 species